GUCGGCUGUACCAGAAGUCGCUGUGCUAACCGCAAGGAGGUAAGCGCCCAAGGUAUGGUCGAUGAUUGGGGUGAAGUCGUAACAAGGUAGCCGUAGGUGAACCUGCAGAAGGAUCA
rnacentral:rRNA from 1 species